UAGUGUUGCUAUUAUAUUUGUGUGGGGGAAGUUAAGUAACAUUUUUAAAUAAAAGAGAGUGGCCAAUCUUUCACUGCAGGGCUAUGUCUAGUUUUUACAGAGCAAUGGCCUCCCAAGAUCCCUUCCAGCCCAGGCGUCUGGCAUUUACCAGCUUCUAGUACAGGGCUCUGAGACUCCCAGAACAGCGCAGAAGCAAUUGCUUAUGCUUAACGUCUAUGCUGUCAAAAUCCAAUGGAAAAAUAAGAGCCACACUAAAGCAGAAUCAAUAUAAGUUGUGAAAGUGUUGACCCCUAACUCUAAAAGUACUUUCUAAACAUUUACUGAAUAUCUGCUAUACGCCAGUCACUCUUCUAAAGGCUAAGGAUACAAAAGACGAGUAGUACAAAGUUCUUGCCCUCGAGGAAGUUCAAAGCCCAAUAAGGAAAGGAGACAGCAAAUAAUCAGCUACAGUGUAAUAUGGUCAGUGCUAAGACAGAGCAUGGAGCAGGUGCUGUGGGAUGUUAAUUAGGGCAUGUUUGGUGCAAAGAAUAAGAAUUACUUCAACCUAGACAAGAUUGGUAACAAGGGAUGAUGAUAAUGAUACAUUUGUGGGUGUGCCCUGAUCAGAAGACUCUGAAAGAAGGAAUAGUUCUUUAAGUCAAACCUGAUGAAUUUCUUGUAUUAAACAUCAGAAGUGGGUGAGAAAUGGCAGCACUGAACAAACCAGGGAACUAAGAGGUUCUGCCACUGACUGUCUGUAAUAGCAAAAGGUUGGGGAAAAUUGAAUGUCCAUCCAUGGGGAACUUGUUAAAUGAAUGAU
rnacentral:lncRNA from 1 species